AUUCUACAAGGAGUUGUUGAGCACCUGCUGUCUAUCUACAGAAAUCUUGAAAUGUGGAACAGAGAUGGAAAUAUAGCAUGCAAGUCAGAAUGAAUUGCCAAACAAUGACAGAAGGCUGCUCUGAAAUGAUCAAAAUUUUCUCCUGGGACCUCACACCAAAGGAAUAUAAUAGGCAUUCAUUUCUAAGACAAUGCGGCAUUCUCAUAAUCUUAAACUCUGGUGAAAACAGAAAAUUAUUGUCAGUGAACAUCUACUAAAUACAGACAGGUCCUGGACUUUGGUUUCUCUUCUGGUAAAGUGAGAACAGUGUCUCCCAUUAGCCAAAAUAAGCAGAGGUCAGUGAAAUAACAAUGUAACACCAAGACAUGGUGCACUUCUCAGGUGAAAACUUUUAUGCUGGGUCUUCUUUAAAGAAGGAGUACUCGAGGACUCUGUGAAUUGAAAACGAACAUCUGUUUGAACCUGUUUUUGUGCUGGAAUGCAGUGGUGUGAUCUCAGCUGACUGCAACCUCCAACUCCCAGGUUCAAGUGAUUCUCCUGCCUCAACCUCCUGAGUAGCUGGCAUUACAGAAAAAUAUAAAGCUAAUUAGGUUUUAAAACUUCAAAGGAGAGCACUAAAUUCAUGGAAAUAAAUGCUAUCCCUUCUAAUUCAGGAGAAGAAAAAAGAAAACUACCUUAUCAAUACAACAAGAAGUCAGGAAAAGAGAGACAGGAUUUCACCAUGUUGCCCAGAUGAUCUAGAACUUCUGAGAUCAAGCAGUCCACCCACUUUGGCCUCCCAAAGUGCUGAGAUUACAGGGAUAUAUAUAUAUAUAUAAUAUCUCUCUCUCUCUCUCUCUCUCUCUAUAUAUAUAUAUAUAUAUAUAUAUCAACUCUAGAGAGAGAAGUGGAGUAAGAUGGCUAAAUAGAACCCUCCAGUGUUUGACACUUCCUGCAGGAACACCACAUUUUACAACUAUCCAUGCAAGAAAGCACCUUCAUAAAAAAAAAUCAGUUCUUUUAAGAUAUAUUUCCAGGGGAGACAGAGUAAGAUGGCUCCACCAAUUGUUCCCCCGACAAGGACACCAAUUUAACAAUCAUCUACACAGAAAAAACACCCUCGUAAGGAUAAAAAUCAAUACAUUUGCUCUUGGAUCCCAUCCACCACGCUGUGAGGAAGCCAAAUUACCUCAUGAAGAUGCCCUCAAGGAGCUGAACCAAAGGCUCUGGCCCAUAGCCUUACGGAUCUCCAAGUUGAAAGUCAGCACCAACCUGCUAGUCAUAAGAGUGAGUCAUCUUGACAGUAGAUCCUCCAGCCUCCAACAGAUGCCCUGUGGAGCAGAGAGGAGUCAUUCCUAUCAAACCCUGAAAAAUUCUAGAUCUCUAAUAAAAUAAAUUAUUGAUACUAUCUGA
ensembl:lncRNA LINC00973 long intergenic non-protein coding RNA 973